GUAGGUCGGAGGUCUCUGCAGGGCUCGCUGCGGCGCCCCGAAACAGUCCCGCGUCCUCAGGCCAGCGAGCAGGAGGCUUGGAGUGGAGACGAGGCCUCUAUGGGAUAGGUAGGGGCUGGGGGCCGGUGCCCGCAGACGUGGGAAGGCGACCGUGCUGAGCGCUGCAGCUGGCUGGGCCCCGGUCCGCCGUCCUUCCUGCCUGGGCCUCCUGCCUGCUCCUCACAGGGCCGGGUUCGAGACCACGGGCCGCGCCCCACCCAGGCUACACCAACCUUUUCUGAGUCUCCGGCUCCUUACCGGAGGUGGGGCGAUGCCCAGGGCGGUGAGCGCUCGGUCCAGGUCCUUCUGAAACAGGAACUCCAGGGUCUGACGUCUUUGGGGGCCUUCUGCCUGCCACCCAUGUCUCCUAGCAACCACCCCAGCUGGGCUUUCACCCCCGCCGCCCACUGAGACUGCUCUACACCAGUGCACACGACAAGUUUCAAACCCCUGCUCAUGUUCCAUUGAAGGAGGCUGAAAAGGCCCAUGAUCAAGUAUGAAAAGGGCCGUCUGUUGUUGGUGAGAAGGGGGCAAAUGUCACUGGCCCGAGGAGCGGACGAGGAGCGACGCAGCUGACCAACCAGAGAGCGAGGAAGAUACAGUAGGAUGGCGGGCAGUGUGAGGGGCCCGUGUGUUCCCCCCGGUGCUUCAGCUGCUCUGGAGAUGGCGAAGAGAAAGAAGCGCAUGGGAUUGAGCCAAGGCCGGGGUGGUGCCCAGCUGGCCCAGCGAGGGCGGGGAGGGAGGGGACAGCCCGAGACAGAGGCAUUGGAGCCGAGUAGGGAGAGGAGGGGGCAGCGGAGGGACAGGUGGGCCCGAGUCCAGGCACUAGACGAGCGAGCUGGAAGGAUGGGAGUGGUGGUCACACGUGGUCAGAGAUGCACAGACUUGAGACGGUGAGGGGCCGCAGCUGUUGGUGGUGACCGUAUGUUUCUGUUAUGUGCUGAUGUGUAACAAAUCACCCCAAAACUUAAUAGCUUAACACAACAUUGGCUUAUUGUUUCUCACAACCCUGUGACUGAUGGGACCUUCUGUUCCACAUGGUGUCAGCUGGGUCCCUCCUUUGACUGCACUCAGCUGAAGCACCUGUCUCUUCCACGUGACCUCCCUCUGUGUGAAAUCGCAUUGUCCAGGUGCCCCACGUGGCCAGACAGCUGGACUUCCUUACAGCAUGGAGGCUGUGCUCUAGGUGACAGUUCCCGCAGGCGUUUAUCAGGCCUCUGAUGGUAUCGUGCUGCUGGUGACCCGCUGCGCAAAGCAUGUCCUGGAGGCAGGCCCAGGGUCAGUGCAAGAGGCCUGUGCACUGGAGCUCAAGUCCUGGGGUGGGCUUCCCUGGGGGGCUGCCCUCUGCCCCUUCCCGUGUGAAGCUUGCACUCAGGGUCUCCCAAGACCCCAGAGCCACCAUGUCGCCAGGUGUAAGGCUUGGAGUCCAGUGUCUCAUGAUGUGCAAAAGGGCCCGAUGGGGAUAGGCACCUCGGGCAUGGCCCCUUUUGCUUCAGAGGCGUGUCAUCUGCCCCUCCGGCACGCAGCGCCCCUGGGGAAGCACAGGGUAAGUGACAGACUUCCCCCUCCACAAAGACACACGCACGCCACAGUCGCGGUCCGUCGCAGUUCUGGAGGCCCCCGACAUGGGGCCCAUUGUCCGUGACCAGGGCUUCCCGCUCCCCGUUUUUGAGGUCCUUAGCUGCCGCCUCCGGGCUGCUGGCUCUCCACUCUCAGUCAUCCUCCCUUUUCCACUGGAAGUGGCCAUAUUUGCUACUGAGUCGCUUCUUCGGCCUGCUUCUUGCUAGUCAGAAGUUAGGGGCCCAGGGGCCUCAUUUAUUUGAAACUGUUCAUUUUCAUUUAAGUAGAUACAACCCUUUAAAGGAAACACUUGAUUUUCUACAUUUCCGUGUGUUAUCAUGCACUUCAUUAGACAAGAGCUACAUCGCAAAUGUCUUUGAGGAGGCCCCUUUCUGCUGCAGGCUACCAGCCAGGCGCCGUGGGACAAGGACCUCAAGAUCCCCGAGGCCCUACUGUAUGACGUUUUGUGUGGAAAGCCAGGUGGACCAUUAAGCCUCCUGCGGGAAACCGUCAGACACGGUUCUGUCUCCCCGUUACCGCAGGCGGCCGUCCUGCCAUCUUUCUGCCAAUACCUGACAUGGCUCACCCUCUCUCCAGCCUGUCAGCGCUGUCCUCACCGCCCUGCCCACGUCCACCUGCUGCUUGGUUCCAAAGUCAGUGCCACACUCCAGAAUUCUGCUGUGGCAGUAUCUCACUUCCAAGUACCCAGGUUUGUUGCAGUUAUCUGUCUCUGCAUCACGAACCACCCCGAAACGUCCUGGCUUAAAACAACUAUUUUCUUAUGGUUCUGUAAUCUACAUUGGGCUCAGCUGGUUGGUUCUGCUGUUGGCUGGUGUGGUCGAUUGUCUCAAAUUGUCACCAUCAGUGCCUGCCCUCCCUGUAAGUGUGUGACGCUCCUGUCACGUUGGGCCUGUGACUGUUUGGACACAUUUAAUGUGGUAGAAAGUUCUGGGACUUGAGAGCCCAGGUCCAAGGUCCGGCAGCUUCCCCUAACUCCCUCUUGGGGGCCUGCUGCCAGGUAAUCAGUCUCGCUAUCUGGAGACCAUCGUGCUGUGCAACACCCCAAAAUAGCCAAAUGGAGAAGCCUCAUGGAAGAGACACCUGACCAGAUAUGUCACUUUACAACACCUGGGCUCUCCCAGCCACCCCGGUCGAGAUGUCAGACAUGCAGGAGAAAAAGACACCUUGACGCUCUUGUGGUCAGCAGACACCCCGGAAUGGAAGAGCCUCCGGGCCGAGUGCAGCUCAGUUUGCAGGAUGAGUAAUAGCUGAGGUGGGUUAUUCUGCACUGGUAGAGAGCUGGCACAGCCGGUCACCGGGGAUGACAGGCAAGAAGUCUGAACCGAUGUCACUCACGUGUCCAGGCACCCUCCCUCUGUGAUUGCUCCAGCAGGGUAACCAGACACGUUUACGUGGAAGCUCGGGCCUCCUGAGCACCUGCAGCUGGCACAGCAUCUCUUUCAUUGCAAUGCUGCCAGGUCUGGCCCAGCUGCAGCAGGAGGGGAUGGGGCCCACCUUCCAGCGGGAGGAACAGCUGAACGUAAAGGGCUGGGAGUCAUUGGCACCCAUCUUUGCAGACAAAUUAAGAAAGCCAUUGGAGGGAGCUGCUGAAGCCCACUGGAGAAGCAUCUCGGAGGGAGGAGUCGGGACCACGGCUCUAUGGGUCAUGCCAAGAUGACCUGUGUGGAUUCCGAAGUCACUAAGAAUUCCUGCAAGACCAUUACUGGAGGUUAUGACAGUGACUCAGGAACUGAAAUCAAGAAUAAAGGGGACUAACCUGGCCUUGGAGAUGAGAGACCAGCAGAGGGUGGUGGAUUGUCAUUGAGAAACAGCCAACACACUUUUCCUUACCGAAACACUUCCUUCUUGACUUCUCUCGUGGACAUUGGCAUUUGGGGCUGCCCACGACCCUCCUCCUGCCAUGGGCACCCUGAUGCCUUGUGCAGGAAUCUCCCCGUCUAUACAGUCUUGCCGGGGGAAACUCAAGUGUGGACAAUCAGAUCCUCCCUCCAGGAACAUCGGACCCAGAGGUGGGGCCUGGCACUCGCUGCAUGCCCCUGGCUCUUCCCUCUCCUCCUCUGGCUCAGCAGGGCCCCUCCAGCCUGUAAGUCCUGUCUCCCUUUGCUGGAGGGCUAGAUUAGGUUUCUGUGGCUUUCACCCCAAACUCCGAUGUCAUCAGCGCCCUGACUUGUUACCAUCUACAAACAAGCAUCUAACAAAUCUCGGUCCUUCGUCUCCCAGACCUCACGCAGUCAUGCACAGUGGGCAUCUCAGACCCUGUUGGUCAUGCCUUUUUCCCACACCCAGAACAACUUACAUCCAGCCAGUUUUCUCCAAUGGAAAAUGCCACCUCAUACACCCAGCAUUUCUGCCCCAAACCAAGCGUCACCUCGACGCUCUCCUUCAGGCACCCUGGUAACAGUAGGGUUCGAGCAAGCGCCGCCUUUGCCCUCACACACUAGCUCACGGUUUCCCGCGUGCACGCGUCCCCUCCACGAUUCACUCUCCACAGAGGGCCAUUCUAAAAGCGUUGUCACAGAGCAUCUGUCCUGCCCGUCCCCGCCCCACACAGCCUGCAUCCUCUCGCUCUCCUUACUCCGCCCGGCGCUGCGGCCACGGCCCGGGCCCCACUGGCCGGCACCCACACGUCCGGGGCUGGCUCAGCGCGAAGGCCUCCCCCUAGGGACUCCAACCCAUCGCCCAGCACGCCGGCUGCCCUCAUGA